GGGUUGUGAGGUUAAGCGACUAAGCGUACACGGUGGAUGCCCUGGCAGUCAGAGGCGAUGAAGGGCGUGCUAAUCUGCGAUAAGCGCCGGUAAGGUGAUAUGAACCGUUAUAACCGGCGAUACCCGAAUGGGGAAACCCAGUGUGACUCGUCACACUAUCAUUAACUGAAUCCAUAGGUUAAUGAGGCGAACCGGGGGAACUGAAACAUCUAAGUACCCCGAGGAAAAGAAAUCAACCGAGAUUCCCCCAGUAGCGGCGAGCGAACGGGGAGGAGCCCAGAGCCUGAAUCAGCAUGUGUGUUAGUGGAAGCGUCUGGAAAGGCGCGCGAUACAGGGUGACAGCCCCGUACACAAAAGCGUAUGUGCUGUGAGCUCGAUGAGUAGGGCGGGACACGUGGUAUCCUGUCUGAAUAUGGGGGGACCAUCCUCCAAGGCUAAAUACUCCUGACUGACCGAUAGUGAACCAGUACCAUGAGGGAAAGGCGAAAAGAACCCCGGCGAGGGGAGUGAAAAAGAACCUGAAACCGUGUACGUACAAGCAGUGGGAGCCCCACCACUAAGCCAGUGGUGAACUCCACAUACGCAUCCUUUGCUGAGGAUACGGUUAACGGAGCGAAAGCGACGUUCAACCGCAAAAGAAGCAGAGGGGGCUUAGUGGUGGGGUGACUGCGUACCUUUUGUAUAAUGGGUCAGCGACUUAUAUUCUGUAGCAAGGUUAACCGAAUAGGGGAGCCGGAGGGAAACCGAGUCUUAAC
rnacentral:rRNA from 1 species